ensembl:lncRNA
CUCUGUUAGAGACACUGGAUUAGAAGCCAGCGGCUGUCGCCCAGUGUGUCGUAGCAGUGAGCUUGUGGAGCAUCAGCUGUAAGAUGCCUGGGUGAGCUCAUGACGCUAACGUGCUCAGCCAGACACGCCUGUUAGCAGAAGAACCGAGAGAAAUCGCUCACUUCCUGUUGGGAAGCUGUGGAUCCCAACUGGUCAGUGGAAGCGGCCACACUGGCAUCGAACCUGCCACAGCCAGGUGGUCGUGCCAACAACCGUGGACAGAGGAUCAGAGCCGCCCUCAGAUUACCUGAGUGCAAACCUGCCCCGCGCAGACCUUUAGACGUCUUCAGGACACAACUGCCAGCUGG